rnacentral:rRNA from 1 species
UACGUAGGGUGCGAGCGUUGUCCGGAAUUACUGGGCGUAAAGAGCUCGUAGGUGGUUUGUCGCGUUGUUCGUGAAAUCCCCUCGGCUUAACCGGGGAACUGCGUCUGAUACUGGAUGGCUUGAGGUUGGGAGAGGGAUGCGGAAUUCCAGGUGUAGCGGUGAAAUGCGUAGAUAUCUGGAGGAACACCGGUGGCGAAGGCGGCAUCCUGGACCAAUUCUGACGCUGAGGAGCGAAAGCCAGGGGAGCAAACGGG